UACACACCGCCCGUCACACCAUGGGAGUUGGCUUUACCUGAAGGCGGUGCGCUAACCCGCAAGGGAGGCAGCCGACCACGGUAGGGUCAGCGACUGGGUG
rnacentral:rRNA from 1 species